rnacentral:ncRNA from 1 species
UUUUUCUUGUCGGAGUGCCCAGCGUUUGGAAAAACGCGGGCUGAGACCGUUAAUUCGGGAUCCGCGGAACCUGAUCAGGCUAAUACCUGCGAAGGGAACAAGAGUCAAACUGCU